CUACAGUCUCCACCCCUUUUGGUUUUGAUUUAUAGUUGUAUCAAACCAUCUUUUGCACUCAGAGUCUGACUUAUCAUGAUGACAGUCAUAAAAAGUGUCUUCCUCUUGGCUCUCAUAUCAGCUGCCAGGGGUCAGUCCCUCACCUCCUCAGAGGCAGUGAUCAGCAAAGCAGGACAAUCAGUCACUCUGUCCUGUAAAGCACAAGGAAUGUCUCUAGCUUGGCUCCACUGGAUUCGUCAGAAACCGUUAGAAGCACUAGAAUGGAUUGGGCGCAUCGACAGUGGCACCGGCACAGCAUUUGCCCAACAUCUCCAAGGCCAAUUUUCUAUCACUAAAGAUACUUCUAAAAACACAGUCUCUCUGACAGUGAAGAGUCUGAAACCAGAAGACUCUGCAGUUUAUUAUUGUGCAAGAGAGACACAGUGA